AUCCUUUGAGGACAUCCGAUAAAAUUAGAAUGAUACAGAGAAGAUUAGCAUAUGCCCUACGCAAGGAUGACACGCAUAAAUUGAGAAAUUGUCCAAAUUUUU